rnacentral:RNase_P_RNA from 2 species
UAGGCAUAGUAGGUGGUUGCUUUUGGGAUACAAAAGAGGAAAGUCCGAGCUACAAAGACAGGAUUCCAUUUAACAAAUGGCUAGGGUAACCUAAGGGAAAGUGCAACAGAAAAUAACCGCCGCGUAAAAGUGAGAUGUGGUCUAGAUUCUAUAAAUCAUAGCGAGCAUUUAUAGAAUCUAGGUGGCACAUCUAAGUUAGAUUCUGUAGUGUUAUAGAAUCUAGCGCGGUAAGGGUGAAAAGGUGGGGUAAGAGCCUACCGAUUUUGCAGCAAUGCAAAAUGCUAUGCAAACCCAAUCCGUAGCAAGAAGAGUAUGGUUAAGGUCUUAAAGUUAAACUCUUCGCUUGAGGUAUGUUGCGAAACAUAUCCUAGAUAAAUAGCCACCCACGACAGAACUCGGCUUAUCGCUAUGCCUAAGUA